CAGGAAAGUUAUUCUUCUGUUCUCUCUGUUUUUCCUGCUUGUAAAGGGAGACUUUGACACCAGUGAUGUGGGAAGUCAAGCCAUAUCAACAGAUAAAGAUUCGUUGUCUGAUGAAGCUCCAACAGAUGAAUCCCAGUAUUAUGGAGGAGGACCAUCAG